UACGUAGGGACCAAGCGUUGUUCGGAUUUACUGGGCGUAAAGGGCGCGUAGGCGGCGUGACAAGUCAGUUGUGAAAUCUCUGAGCUUAACUCAGAACGGCCAAGUGAAACUGUUGUGCUAGAGUGCAGAAGGGGCAAUCGGAAUUCUUGGUGUAGCGGUGAAAUGCGUAGAUAUCAAGAGGAACACCUGAGGUGAAGACGGGUUGCUGGGCUGACACUGACGCUGAGGCGCGAAAGCCAGGGGAGCAAACGGG
rnacentral:rRNA from 1 species